UACGUAGGGUGCGAGCGUUAAUCGGAAUUACUGGGCGUAAAGCGUGCGCAGGCGGUUCUCCAAGUCCGUUGUGAAAGCCCCGGGCUCAACCUGGGAAUGGCAGUGGAAACUAGGGGACUGGAAUCUGGCAGAGGGGGGUGGAAUGCCGCGUGUAGCAGUGAAAUGCGUAGAUAUGCGGAGGAACACCGAUGGCGAAGGCAGCCUCCUGGGAUAACACUGACGCUCAUGCACGAAAGCGUGGGGAGCAAACAGG
rnacentral:rRNA from 1 species